GUCGAGCAGAUGCGAAAGCAGGACAAAGUGAUCCGGUGGUUCUGUAUGGAAGGGCCAUCGCUCAACGGAUAAAAGGUACUCUGGGGAUAACAGGCUGAUACCGCCCAAGAGUUCACAUCGACGGCGGUGUUUGGCACCUCGAUGUCGGCUCAUCACAUCCUGGGGCUGAAGCCGGUCCCAAGGGUAUGGCUGUUCGCCAUUUAAAGUGGUACGCGAGCUGGGUUUAGAACGUCGUGAGACAGUUCGGUCCCUAUCCGCCGCGCGCGCAGGAAACUUGAGAAAGGCUGUCCCUAGUACGAGAGGACCGGGAUGGACACACCGCUGGUGUACCAGUUGUUCCGCCAGGAGCAUCGC
rnacentral:rRNA from 1 species